UUAAAGGGUUUAUUGGUAAUUUCACCUCAAAGCUUAUCCUUUUAAGCUUCUGGACGACUCCCCCAGCUGGUUCUUAUCCUGAUUGAGCUGAGGAACAGGUUAAUCUGAGGACUUGGGGGGCAGCUCCUGGUGCGUGGGAAGUGAAGUUUUGUUGUGUUUCUUCAACCCUAACUCAGUAGAAACUGAGUUGAAGCUGUACAAGAGUUAGGGAAGUUUGUAGCAAUGGCAGAGAAGGUGUUUUAGCUAUAAUUCUUCAACCCUUAAUCAGAGGAAAGCUGAAUUAAAGCUUUGGGAAGGUUUGUGAACUAUCUUGGCUGAGUUUUAGUGAUCCUUAUAGAUUGGUUUUAAUGUUCUCCAACCUGAGUUGGAGCUGCACAUGCAGGGUAUUAGAUCCCUUUUGGCCGAGAUUUGGGAGCUUUCGAAGGUUGGUUUUGGUGUUCCAACUUGAACCGAAGUGAGGAUGUAAGCCUUGAUACUAUACUAGAAUCAUUGCUAGGUUGUUUGGAGACUUUGGAUUACCUACGUUUGUGAAAUCAACGAGAAUCAUCGACUAAUUGGUGGGUUUGACUUUACCGAAAUGGGUGAAUUCCCUCUAUGUCUUAUUUGACAUUAUAAAAGUGAAAUUGUUGCAUAUUCAUGUGAAUAUAUAUAGAGGAAUGGAUUGGUGUAUGCAUAAAUCUACAUAUUAUAUCGGAUAAAAGGAAGAGUCUAUGUAGUAGGGGAGAAUUAUGAAAUAGCUUUGCAUACAUAGAUCACUUGCUUGUUUAACAUGCAUCAUAUAAUAUUAGUAUACUUGUGUAGACAAGUUAAGUAGGACAUCAGCCACGAAUGAAUGAAUAUAAAGCUAUGAUUACGGCACUUAGUUUAGAUGUAUAACUAAGUAAACGAUGCAUUAUAGUGGUUUAUCUUUGAGUUAAAUUCAUGCAAUUCCAUGUUGUAGACAUGAUGACGGAACUCUUAGCAUAUCAUGUAUAGUGAAGUUACAUACUAAUACGUUUACAUAAAAAUCAUGUUAAGAGUAUGGUAGAGAAUGUUUCGCAUAUUUGUAUAUACAAGUUGGUUAUUGCUUUCACAGAAUAGAGAUAGCAUGAAUUUCAUGUUCUUAAAUAUAUGAUCUAGUCAAGUAACUAGAACUGGGUAUUAUAACAUAACAUGAAUGUUAUACUAGUGAAUACGAUCUAGUUAGAUAACUAGAAUUGGAUAUGAGGAUAUGCCUGUGUAGUCAAGUAGAAGUACUUGCCUAAUAUUUAUUUA